rnacentral:lncRNA from 1 species
CAGGAUUUAGUUUUAAGCCUGUCCUAGUGCACAGGCUCAAAUUGAGCAAAUGUGUCUUCUGCCAUCCAUGUGGAGCGUUUUGACUCCUUCCUUAGCCCUGUGGUAUUCUGGGAGGUUAGGCUCGCUGCUUAGAGAAUUAUGUUGUGGAUUAAAACCAGACCAGGUGGAAGGGAAGCCUGUGACAAACAAAAGCCAUGACCUUCUCUGAGCAUAAAAAUCCGUGCUUCAGGAUUCGACGAACUCUUGGAAAGCAUUUUCUGCAUCCUGCUGAUUAUGGAAGCAUUUUCCCUGAAAAAAGUUGUUGAGAUGCUUGAAGAAGUGGCAGUCAGUUGGCAAGAUAUCAGGUGAAUAUGACAGGUGAGGCAAAAUUUCGUAGCUCAAUUUGUUCAACUUUUGAAGCAUUGGUUGUACGCCGUGAAGUCGCACGAAGUGAGGUUGUCAUGGAAGAGUUGGGCCCUUUCUGUUGACCAAUGCCAGCUGCAGGUGUUGCAGUUUUUGGUGCAUCUCAUCGAUUUGCUGAGCAUACUUCUCAGAUGUAACAGUUUCCUCUGGAUUCAGAAAGCUGUAGCGGAUCAGACCGGCCGCAGACCGCAAACAGUGACCAUGACCUUUUUCUGGUGCAAGUUUGGCUUUGGGAAGUGCUUUGGAGCUUCUUCUUGGUCCAGCCAAUGAGCUGGUCAUUGCUGCUUGUCGUAUACAAUCAUUUCACGUCAUAAUCCGAUCUAGAAAUGAUUCGUUGUUGUUGCGUAGAAUAAGAGAAGAGGACAUUUUAAAAGAAUGAUUUUUUUGAUUUUCGCUCAGCUCAUGAGACACCCACUUAUGGAGCUUUUUCAGCUUUCCAAUUUGCUUCAAAUGCUGAACGACCAUAGAAUGGUUGACGUUGGGUUCUUUGUCAACUUCUCAUGUAGUAGGAUCAGCUUCGAUGAUUGCUCUCAAUUGGUCGUCGUCAACUUCCGAUGGCCGGCCACUACGCUUCUCAUCUUCAAGGCUCUCGUCUCCUUUGCAAAACUUCUUGAGCCACCACUGCACUGUACGUUCGUUCAUUAGCAGUUCCUGGGCCAAACGCGUUGUUGAUGUUGCAAGUUGUCUCCCCUGCUUUACGACCCAUUUUGAACUCGAAUAAGAAAAUUGCGCGAAUUUGCUUUUUGUCUAACGUCACUUCUAUAGUCUAAAAUAAAUAUAAAAUAAACAGCAAUAAGUCAUUAGCAAAAGAUAAAAGUGAGAAAUGUGCAUUAAAAUGAUGUACAACAUAACCACACUUAUUUAAGAAAGUAUUCCAAUAUCAAACAGCAAAUUUCAACAAUGCAAAAACCGCAAUUACAUUUGCACCAACCUAAUAACACUGGAACAAUACAGAGAAGAUUAGCAUGGACCCUGCACAAGAAUGACAUGCAUAUUCAGAAAGCAUUUCAUAUUUUUCCAUUGAAACUUCUUUCACCUCGG